rnacentral:tRNA from 1 species
GCCGAAGUGGUGGAAUGGCAGACACGCCAGCCUCAGGAGCUGGUGCUCGCAAGGGCGUCCGGGUUCAACUCCCGGCUUCGGCA